rnacentral:lncRNA from 1 species
CCCCCAACAUACACUGGCCAUUCUAACCCGCAAAGCGGAGGCUUUCUUUUCCUUAAGGGUCUGUUCUCCAGAAAUUCCCUUAUUCACUGCCUGCCCAGUUCACACUGUGUAUACCCCACCCUCAGGAGUAUAAACCUGACAAAUGCUUUUGAGCCAAACCAGACAGAGUCCCCCAUAAAACUCAUGGAACACAACAGAUGAUUCUUUCAGCACAAAUACCUUCAGAUUUGGAAGCACAUCCUGAUAUGUUUCUUCCAAGUUCAUUUAAUUAAUAGUACUUACUUGUUCUUAAAUGAUUUGGAAGACUCCCAUUGGGCAGGUCAAAUCAUGGGCUAAAUGUGCUGGGGCUUUUUGGUGGAGAUGCUAAUUUAAAUUUUCUCAAAGUAUUUUACGUACAUUCUACUGGUAACUAGAUCAGAAAAUUCAGAUUCUCAGAAUUCAUAGUGUUGAAACAUAACUGUGAGGUCUUCGUUUAUUUUUUUUAUUUUUUUUAUUUUUUUUUGAGACAGGGUCUUGCUCCGUCACCUAGGCUGGAGUACAGUGGCGCCAUCUCUGCUCACUGCAACCUCCGCCUCCCAGUUCAAGCAAUUCUCCUGCCUCAGCUCCCCAGUAGCCGGAAUUACAGGUGCAUGCCACUACACCCACCUAAUUUUUUGUAUUUUUAGUAGAGACAGGAUUUCACCAGGUUGGCCAGGCUGAUCUCGAACUCCUGACCUCAAGUGAUCCGCCCGCCUCGGCUUCCCAAAGUGCUGGAAUUACAGGCAUGAGCCACCGCACCCAGUCUAUUGUCAUUCUUUUACUGGUUCUUCAACUAAGCUGAAACUUGGAGAACGCCAGAAAGUGGUAUAAAAUCCUAACGAAUUUGACUCUGGGAUAAAAGAUGUGCCCGGAAUGGGCACUCAAUGUGCACCAUGACCUCAUACAAUGAACUGUCCCCAGUUACAGAAAACAAAUUCUAGGGCUUUAACCUCCACUUACACCCAGCACUUCCAAUCAUUAGAUUUAUGGGUACUGAGGCAAGAGUGCACAACCAUGAAUGUCUUGGCGGUCCAUUGCCAAGCUCCUUAUGCACUCCAGUCUUUUAAGUUCUCCUUUCAACAGGCGAAGUCUCCAAGGCCAGUCCACUCCAUGAAAGAUGAAAACCCCCCAAAUCAAAAGAGAAAAAAAACAAUACCAACUCACUAGGGGGCUUUAGCACCUCCUCCCCACAUAAAAGAGGGUUGGAGUCUUCUAAGAACAUCCUUGGCAAAACCAACAAUGUAGGAGUAGGGAUAAAAAGUGGAAUCAUAGCAUUAGGAGAUAUACCUAAUGUAAAUGACAAGUUAAUGGGUGCAGCACACCAACAUGGCACAUGUAUACAUAUGUAACAAACCUGCACGUUGUGCACAUGUACCCUAGAACUUAAAGUAUAAUAAAAAUAUAUAUGUAUAUUUUAAAAGAAGUGGAAUCAUAUAUUAUUAUAUAAAAAUCACAAAAUCUGGCCGGGCGCGGUGGCUCACACCUAUAAUCCCAGCACUUUGGGAGGCCAAGACAGGUGGAUCACAAGGUCAGGAGAUCGAGACCAUCCUGGCUAACACAGUGAAACCUCAUCUCUACUAAAAAUACAAAAAAAAAAAAAAAAAAAUUAGCCAGGCGUGGUGGCAGGUGCCUGUAGUCCCAGCUACUCGGGAGGGCUGAGGCAGGAGAAUCGCAUGAACCCAGGAGGCAGAGCUUGCACUGAGCCGAGAUCGCACCACUGUACUCUAGCCUGGGUGACAGAGCAAGACUCCGUCUCAAAAAAAAAAAAAAUCACAAAAUUCCUGGGAAUGAAAGCCAAAAAAGACUACUAUGAGAAAUUAGGAUAUGAGGUCCUUAUACAUCCUAAUGAGUUUGAGGUACAGAAAACACCAAUAUCUAGCUCUGAAAACUGCCUCUCAAGUUCAAUGCUUUCAUUCACCUAAUCAGUAUACAUUCAGCACCCACUAUGUGCAAAGCUGGGUCACCACUUAGUAGCUAUUAAAAAAUAGAGAGGGAGAUUUUUAAAUAGACAAGACCUUCUAGACUCCAUUUCAAAUAUGCAUAAGACAUAUAUUUCAAAAUAAUAAUCCCUCUUAACUGUUUUCCAAUAGAGAAUCAAAUGCCCCAAGAUAUCAAUUUAAAUUUAGCUGUCCUUUUUCUUUCUCUCUUUCAAAUCAUCAUUAAGCUUUCUGGCAAGAGCUUUUUCUAGGCCUCCUGUUACAAGGCUUAGCAGAGCCCAUACGGGUUUCAGGGUUUAGAAAUAGAGAAAGGGAACCUCAAAUUUCCUUUAUGUUUUGGGCUGUCAAUAGCAUUUAGGAAAAACAACUCCUCUCCUUUCUGCUUCGUAUGUUUUCCUUAUUGGUUUAUUUACACAGCGCUGCUCCCCGACAGCAGGCAGUACAUCGUUUGGUCAUUGCUGCCUUUCCCCGCCAUUAGUGCAGGCUGCUGAGACGACACCCCAGCUGCCUCCCCCGAGUGGCCUGCGGCAUCGGCACAUCCCUUUCCCCCAAGUGGUCCCCUCUUUGACUAAUGUUCACCAACACUCAUACAUCAUUCCCAAAUUGGUCCAAAUGAAUUAAACACAGCUCUGCUUAACAUUAUGAGAUUUAAAUGGAUUUUCUCUCUACAGGUCUGCCCCAUAAUUGGGUUUAUCCAUCUUGUUGAAGUACAGUUUACACUUGCUAACAUCACGCCAGUUCAAG